rnacentral:lncRNA from 13 species
UGUGCCCCAGGGAAGGGUGGCUGUGCCCAGGAAGGGUGGCUGUGCCCAGGAAGGGUGGCUGUGCCCAGGGAAGGGUGGCUGUGCCCCGGGAAGGGUGGCUGUGCUCCGGGAAGGGUGCCUGUGCCCCAGGGAAGGGUGGCUGUGCUCCGGGAAGGGUGGCUGUGCCCCGGGAAGGGUGGCUGUGCCCCGGGAAGGGUGGCUGUGCCCCAGGGAAGGGUGGCUGUGCCCCGGGAAGGGUGGCUGUGCCCCAGGCUGCUUUCCCACAGCAUCCAUUGGUUGUCCCGGUGCCAUGGCAAGGGACGGGCCCGGGCCCAGCUCCAGCAGGUGGUCACAGUGGGAUGCUCUGGAAGCCCUUCCAGCAGAGCACAGGACGGGUGCGGGAGCCCCCAGCGCAGGGGAUGGAUGAGGCACUUCCAACAUCCAAGUGCCGCUUGCACCGCCGGCGUCCGGGAGCCUCCCGAGCUCUCCCUCCACCUCCGGCGCUGCCGAGGAGCUUUCCCAGCACAGACUGGGAGGGCUGGGAGCACUCGGGGUGUCGCUGGUCCCCGGUGUGUGUCUGUGGCGUUCGGUGUCCGUGUGUCGCACCGGGGCUGUUCCUCGGGGACUGGGGCUGGGCCGGGCGCGGCCCGCGGGGCUGGGCUGGGGCUUCCUUUCGUUGUUGUUGAACUGUUCUUUUGGGGUUCAGGUUUGGCCGUUUUUCCGCGGGGAGGGGGGUGCGGGUCUGUUCCGGGUUCAUGGACAAGGUGAGGGCCUCGAUUAGGACCAAAUUUUCGUGCCUGUUGCUCUGGUGAUUUAUUUAGAAAUCAAAAGUUUACUGUCUGGUGGCCCAUCCUUGUCACUCUAUACAUAGGAAUAUACAGGACAUAUAUAAAUAUAUAUAUAUUAUACAUAGUGUCUGGAGAGAGGCCGUUCCUGGUGGGACGGACACUCCUCACUGUGCUGUAAUGUAGCUCGACCCCGUGCUGGGAGCGCCCAGGGAGCGCCAGCGCCCUCCAGGAUGGCAACGACACAAUAAAGGAAUGAGCAUCACUGCCAGGGCCUCCGCAGCCUCCUUAGCGCGGCCCCGCAGCCGGGGAGCGGCCGGCACGGGGGCACGGCUUCCCGCCGGGAUUGCUCCACGUCCUGGUGUUCCGUGCGAGAUGGAGCGCUGGGACAAACCCAGCCAGUUCCAGCUCGGGGACAAGGACACCGGGAAACAGUGCGGGCUAUCACACGGACACGGCGGUGCUGGAGGCAGCACGGGGGUCUGGAAAAGGGGAAGCUGGCCAGGAGCACCCCAGUCCCAGCGGGGGAGGGCGGUUCUUGCAUAGGGAGGAGGGAAGAGCCUGGGGCUAAAUGCAGAACUAAGAUUAAACAGGAACAUUUCCAGCCCACGGGGAGAGCAAGGAAGCACCAGGGACAUCCAGAUGGAGCUGAGCUGCUGCUGGAACAGGAGCUGGUGUGGCCUCACUGCCUCAGGAGCUGCAGUUUGGGGUGGGGAAGGGCCUGGUCAUCUCCCAAGGGCUGCUGCGUUUUUCCCUUGCCAUUGGAAACGGGGAAAUUCCCAUGGCUUAGGCAUUGAAGCAACUCUAACCAAGAAAACAUUGCAAAGGCAUGGAAUGGGUUGGGUUGGGUUGGGUUGGGAGGGAACAUAAAGCCCACUCAGUGCCACCCCUGCCAUGGCAGGGACACCUCCCACUGUCCCAGGCUGCUCCCAGCCCCAAUGUCCAGCUUGGCCUUGGGCACUGCCAGGGAUCCAGGGGCAGCCCCAGCUGCUCUGGGCACCCUGUGCCAGGGCCUGCCCACCCUCCCAGGGAACAAUUCCUUCCCCAUAUCCCAUCCAGCCCUGCCCUCUGGCAGUGGAAUUCCCAGCUCCGAGGUUGUCCACAGCAGAGGGAUUGAAAAGCCCCGUGGAUGUGGCACUUGGGAACACGGGGCAGUGGUGGCCUUGGCAGUGCUGGGGGAUGGUUGGGCUCAGUGGUCUCCCAGGGCUUUUCCAACCCAAAUGACUCCAUGGUUGCAGGCACGCAGAGAUUUGUUCUGUUUCAGUCUUCAUGGAAAAGGUCACUUGUGAUCAGGUGAGUCACAAUAAAUGCCACCGAAAAGGGACUGGGGCUGAAGUAAGAAAAGGAAAGAUUAAAGGUCCCUCACAGGCACUGGAUGUCCCCAAAUUGGCCAGGUUGGAUUAACUCAGACAGAAUGAAUUUGGUAAAGUGGCCUCGGAGCUGCAAGUGAGGGGUUUGAGAUCUCACAGAGAAGAGGCUGAGUGUCCAAACAGGAACAGGAUAAACAUAAGGAAUAUCUUUAAAAUGGGGAAAGGUGAAUUUGGGCUGUCUGCUCAACUUAACUUCACCUCCUGAAAGGACUGAAUAGAUCAACAAAAUCCACCUGAAAAUCCUGGCAGGGGAACACGUGAAGGUAACAACCAACAUGGGCUGGUCCAAAGCAAAUCCCACCGAACCCUACCAAAGCAGCUUCAUGCUCUGCUGGAAUACGAGACCCUGCAGGUGUGAGGGGCACAAUCUGGGAAAGAAUGAGGGAUUUUGGUGAAAUUCUGGCAGCCUCCCUGAGGAGAGGCCCAAGUGGAGUUACCAGUGUGAGUUUUCCAAGAGAAACAGGUCACAGGGAGGCAGAGACCAACGGGAUUUGUUCUCCUUCAGGCCAGCGCUCCCAUGGAUCAGCCCUGCCGGGCACCUGCUUUCCAACCAGGAAUGGGACCAGUUGUGAUGGUUUUGCAAAAAUCACCUGGAAUGAUGUGAAAACAUGAAAGAAACAGGGCAAUUUGCACCUGGGGAUGCUGUGGAGAGCACUAGCCAUGGUCUGCCAAUACUGGAAAGAGGAAGGGGUUAUCCCAUUGCUGCUACCAAGAGGAGAGAGGACAGGAACUCCUGGUCUUGGAACACAGCAGGGAAUAUUUAGAUGAGAAUUUGGGACACCGUGGUGACUGCCCAAGGCUGGCACUGGAGGAGUUCACCCCUGUAGGACAUGGCUGUUCCAGGGAAGGUUUUUAAGGGCACCAAGGCCCAUCAAUGACACCGGAGGGCACAGGAUGGUGGGAUAACGUCUGAGCAUCCCUCCCAAUCCUGCUUUCCAUGGGUCUGUGAUUUGAAAUUACAGCCUGUGAGCAGCAGGUCCCUGAGGGACAGUGACAGCUCAGAAGCACAGUCACAGUCAGGAGCUCUGUGCAGCCAAAGGACUCCAGAGAUCAGGCAUGGAAAGCCAAGAAAGGAUUUUUCCCCACCAACCGUAGGUGCC